GUGUGUGAGUAUGGCAUCUAAAUGCCAUUUGGCAAAAGAGAAGGAUGUGAUAUGUCAACAGUCCCUGUUGGGCAAAAAAGGGAAAUGGAAAGCCUCUCCUUUAUCGGGUGAGAGGAAAAAGCAAGCAAAGGUUACACCAUCGCACAGGAAGGUCCAGGCACAAUCACAGAAAAGAAAUAGUUCACUAAGGUCAGCUAAGCAAGGCCAGGAGGUAUGAAACUAGUGGAUUUCCAAAGCCUUUUUUCUCAUGUUAAUGGGUCCUUUGGGCGGGAGGCACUGACUUAGGCAGCCCUCUGCUGAGAUGAUGACCUGUCCUCUUUGCUUCUAGUCAAAGCUGUUGGUAUCUGGCUCUUGACAGCAGCAGCCCUUUAAUCGCUGGUCCUAAUCUGAGUGAUGCAGAAGUUAUAGUAAAUCCACAUUGCUUUAACAACGUGGACCCAUGACUUUCACCAGUGGCAUCAUUCAUGCUGGCAAAUAAAAGUCACUCCACUUGCUUAGGUGAUUUUAGAAGUGAGUUAUCAGGAGAGCAUCCAGUCUGACUCCCAAGGGUAGUCCAUUAGCAUUGUGCCAAAUGGCAACAGAUGCCAGCAGCAGAUCGCAAACAGUGACCAUGCAAUCAGCUGGAGCUCUCAGAGCCCAGCGUCUGUGGGCAUUUAACUACUAUGCUUCUGCCGCACAUUCUUUCCGAGGAGAUAGUCCACGGUCCAUAGCUGAUCAGGACAACAGGGAACCUCAGCUGGAAAGGAAAUAAAUAAUUAUUUAAAUCGUUUGUCUUAUUUCUGGUGAGAAAGAAAAGCAUUGUAUUAGUGAAUUCAGCAUUUGGAGCUGAACACAUAAUUCCCUUCAUGGCAACAAAGAACGAUAAAAGCAAUUUGACCUAUUCUGAAGCUUUGCUUCCUCCUGCCGGCCCCCCACCCCCAAAUCCCCGGGGGAUGAUUAUAAAGGACUGUGCUGGCUGCUUCACCAGAUGGAGAAAUCUGAAUCCCUUAAACAGGCAGAAGAGAGAAUGGUCUCCGAACUUCGUCAACAUUCUACGUUUCUCAAAUAGAAUUAGAACUGCUUCCUAUAUAGAAAAAUGUUUACUGAAUGGCAAUUUUAUUACCUGCGUAUUGAACUCAGUGAUACCAAGGACAUUUCUUUGCAGACAAAGAGCCUUCUGCCCAGGUUCCUGGGCGAGAGUGACUAGUGCAAGGACCAGAGCACCACAGUGAACAAACAGGACAUCGAAGGAACCAAGAAACCCUGAGUCACAGUAAGUCUCCCCAGCAAACAUAACCCCCGCAAUGCCUCUUUUCAUAUUCAUUCUUUGUUGGUUCAAAUUAUAUACCAAGGAGUCAUACUGGGCAGUAACCACAUUCAUAUAAUGAGAGUGGAAAACUCUUUCAGUCAAAAAUCAGGUCUUAAGUGUGGAAACCAUACAGGAGUGAAAUAUUAUGAGUGUAAUGAGUGUGGGAAAACCUUCGAUUUUAGUUCACACUUUAUGUGACACCAGAGAAUUCAUGCUGGAAAGAAGAGAGAAGGAAUGCUCUAGAUGUGGGAAGUCCUUCAGCUGCUGGUCAAAUAUCUUUCUUCACCAGAGAACGCAUACUCAAUUAAAUAUAUGAGUAAGCAAUAAAUAUGGAAACAUGAGGGUUUAGUGGAAUGGA
rnacentral:lncRNA from 1 species